GACGAACGCUGGCGGUGUGCUUAACACAUGCAAGUCGAACGGCAACGCACUACUAUCGUGGGCUGACGGGGGGCGAAACGGGUACGUAACAGGUAAACAACCUGAUCUAGAUUUUGGGAUAACUUAAGGUAGCGAGGCUUACUCUCAUAUCGCAGACCACCUAGCAUGGAAGGGGUGGGAACGUCUGAGCGGUCGGGGAUGGACUGGCGGCUUAUCGGCUUGCUGGUGGGGGAGGGGCAUACCAAGGAAUUGACCGAUCGCCGGCCUGUGAGGGAGACCGGCCACAUUGGUACUGCGGUACGGCGCAGACUCCUACGGUAGGCAGUAGUGGGGAAUAUUGCACAAUGGUCGGAAGCGUGAUGCAGCAGCGCCGCGUGCGGGAUGACGUCCUUCUGGUUAUAAACCGCUUUCGCCUGUGACGAAGCGGGAGUGACGGUAAUGGGUAAAGAAGCACCGGCUAACUACGUG
rnacentral:rRNA from 1 species